CUUGUUUAAUAAAAUAAAACAUAUUAAUAAAAAAGAAAAUAACUACCGAAAGGAAGAUUUGAAUGCUAAAGAACCACAAUUUAUUGAAAAUGGUUUAUAUUAGAGCGAUUAUGUGGACAGGUGAAAAGACAAAAGGGACACAAUAUAAGGUCUAACUCAGAAAAGUGGCUGAACAAUAUUUGUUCAUGUGCGACAAUUAUGUAUUACUCUAUUUUUACAAGUGUAUUACUAAUGUUAGUCUUGGUUAGUGGUCAGUAGAGCAGUCACUAUGAUAGCUGUAUAUGUAUGCUCUAUAUAAGAGCUUCUUGUAACAGAUUGCAACUACUUCCAAUAAUAACAUAUUCAGUUUACUCUCUUUUUUUCCUCAAAAUUAUGUUUCAAUUCUAUUAGAGCUAGACUAUCUAAAAGACUCAAAAUCUUCCUCCUUCCCCUUCCGCUACUGCCUAUGUGAAUAUUUCUGAGAAGCUCAAUGAUUCGAACUGUUCUGCUAUGGCAACAACAUGUGGGAUUGUGCAUCAAAUUAC
rnacentral:lncRNA from 1 species